GACGAGCCUCACAAACGUUAUUCGGAAUUACUGGGCUUAAAGGGUGCGUAGGCGGUGCGGAAAGUUGGGUGUGAAAUCCCUCGGCUCAACCGAGGAACGGCGCUCAAAACUACCGUACUUGAGGGAGAUAGAGGAGUGCGGAACUUAGGGUGGAGCGGUGAAAUGCGUUGAUAUCCUAGGGAACACCGGUGGCGAAAGCGGCACUCUGGAUCUCUUCUGACGCUGAGGCACGAAAGCUAGGGUAGCAAACGGG
rnacentral:rRNA from 1 species